CUCAAUGAUACAGAGUGGUCCAGCCAACCUUUCACCAGCUACCCAAAAAUCCCAGGGGAGGUAGUCAGCUGGGCUUGAUGACAGCCACCCCAGCCCUGGGGGAGCCACUCCCAGGCAGGACACCUCCUGCCUCUCAGGUCAUACCCCUUCCUAGAUGCCCACAUCUGUAUGAUGGGGAUGAGAAAAUCUUCUCUUUAUGGAAGAAAAUCUACAGAGAGCCCUGAGCAGGAGCCUGGCAUGGAUAUAACACGCACCCAACAGCUGCUGCCACUUCCUUCCCUGGGAGGGCCUUCUGCAGCUCGGCGCCCUCAGCCUGUGCGUGGCUUUGCCCCCUGCACAUUUGGUAAGUGAAGCUCAAGGCUGAGACCAAAGGCACACAGGGGCGUGUGCAUGCUUGAGUCUUAUGGGUACGUGCUGUGUGCCUGUGUGCAUGCAUGCCCAGGCAGGUACGUGUGUGUGGGUGUGCAGAAACAUGUACGUGUGUGCAUGCAUGCCCAGGCAGGUACGUGUGUGUGGGUGUGCAGAAACAUGUAUCUGUGUGUGUUGUGUGCAGAAGCAUGUACAUGUGUGUUGGUGUGCAGAAGCAUGUAUGUGUGUGUGCAUGUUUGUAUAGAUGUGUUGUGCCUGUGUGUGCAUGUGGGCAAGUAUAUGUGUGGCUCACAUAAGAAAGUUCCUUAAAUUAUAACACCUUGGAGUAUGUCACACUUAUUGCUGCCAUGAUUAUAGCAGUGGUCACUUUUGGGUGCCUGGUGAGUGCCCAGCUAAGCACUUGCCCGGUGAGGGUCCCAGCCAGGAUUGAAUUCCAGCCUUCGUGACUGCAGACGGGCACCCCCCACCUGCACCUGGCAUGUCAGGGACCUAGCACACAGGAGCGUGUGACCACCUGACCCAAGAGCUCUGCAGCAAAGGGCCCAAGCCCAUUUGCUGGAUCCUGAGCCGCUAUUGCGGCUGGACUCUCACACGUGACCUGUGCACCCGACCUGUUUGCCACAUGGCACCAGGCCCUUUCUGACCGCACCCCCCUCUCGUCCCAGCCAGCAGGCAUCAGCAGGACCCUGGGAAAGCAACAGUGAUGUAGUCAGGGCCACCUCCUCAUCUCCUGCUCCAUGCUAAAGAGAGAGCCAGACCAAGACUGGAGGUCUCUAGGAGGGACAAAUAGAGCCACCAAGUCCUCGCAGAGGAGCAGCCCCUGCAUGCUGCUGUGAGCGUGGGGUACCCCACCUCCUCACACCAGCCCCACCAGCAGGAGGUCGACGGCCACGUUCUACAGGAGAUGAAGUUUAUUUCUCCACCCCUGAAUCUGGACUUGGCCUGUGACUUGCUUUGUCCAAAGGGACGAAGCAAACAGGAUGCAAGCAGAGGCUGGAAAAGCUUUUGUGCAUGCAGGCUGCUAUGUCGGUACCGGGACCUCCCGCCAGCACAUGAGCAAGGCCGGGCUGAUCUCCUGAGGAUGAAUGAGCACAUAGGGAGAGCAUCGCUGUCCCAGCAGAGGCCCCCAACAUGGGAGAGAGGCCAUCCCCAACCAUCCAGCCACAGCCAGGCCAGCCCGGAUCAGAAAUCUUGCUUAGCCAACUCACAGAACCUGGAGAAAUAAUGAACCCUCGCUGUUUUAAGCCACAAUGUUUUGAGGUGGUUUGUUACACUGCAAAAGCUAGCUGAUACACUUCUCCAGCAACAGGGAGGCUAGGCAAUGC
rnacentral:lncRNA from 10 species